CUGUUUUUAAAUCAGCUUUAUUUUUUUCUAAUUUUGUGUUAAAUUUAAUUUCCCAUAGCACCUUGGCAAUGUCUGAAACAAAAAUACAAAUACAUGGAUGUAAUCAGUUUAACAUUUAAAGCAUGAGCUAUGUCAUACCAUAUUGUUUUGGACAGUCUUGACAACAGGAAUAAACCAGAGCAAUGGACAAAGUAGAAGCCAAAUAGUUGGUUCUGUUUUUUUCCCCCCAAACUCCCUUUUCACCAUAUUGUUAAAAGAUGUGAAUGCCAAGGGAAGUCUGAAUCAUCUGAAGAGAAAGUUGAUGUGCACACACACACAUAUGGAAAUACAUAUGUAUCUAUAUAUGUUAACAUAUACAUGUGCAUAUAUAGGUAUAUACACACAUACAUAUAUGUAUUCAUCUAUUUUGAGUUUAACAAAACUGAAAACAAAACCAUUUUAAUGAAUGAGUUGCACUUUUGGAAAUUACCUGUAAUUGAAGAGCAAUUUAAAAAUCUUCAGUUCUUCAAUAUACAAUUCUAACUCUGUUAUAGGUUAAAGAUCAGAUGAAUUUUCAGAGUGGAUUUACUCCCAACUACACAUUAAAGACAAACAUUUUAUUCAUGGAAUUCCUAAAGUGUCCAAAUUCAGAGUUAAUCAAAACGGAAACUACUAUGUACCUUCUUAAAGGAAGCCCAGACUACAUAUAACAUAUAACAAUAAAGCAUAAGGUAUUUAGAUUAAUGGCAACCAGGUUACAAGGAAAUACAUAUAAAAAAUCCCCAAAAGAUCUAUUGCAUAUCUGUCGUAGUUAUGAAUUUAUAAAAACCUAUUAGAGGCAAUUUCUCCCCUAUGGGUAUUUCUGUUGCAUCUUGUCUGUAAUAAAAUGGUGCAUUUUACCCAUUUGUGUAACAUGCCAGCACAAACACUACAGAUUUAAACCCAGGUUGACUCAUGUAUGUCAGAUAGUAAAACCACUGGACAAUGAAGUUGACAAAGCUGUAAGGCUGUAACUGAGAAUACUACAGUAAUGUAUUAAAAGUUACUUUACAAUACUAUUCUGUUCCAGCAAAAUCUUUCCUAUUCCUCUUUUCCAAUGGUUAUAAUGGGUUGCUUUAUGCUUCUAACAUCUAUUGCUAAAACUGCACCUUUUAAACCUUUCACCAAGCAAACUUGGUUGAAUAUUUCUUUAACAAAACAAAACAAAAAAAAAAGGAAUGUAAGACAAUACACUCAAGCUACCUUAAUUUUAGGAAUCAGAAUAAUCAGAAAUUUACAUCCGCUAACAUUUGUUCACAUGCAAAUUUAGCACAACACAAAGAAACACAAAAAACCCUGAACAAUCUUCCUUCAAAGACUGAAUGGGGAAAUAAUUUAGACAUUAGAUCCCUGGGCAACCAUUUUUGAAAAUCAGUGUUGAAAUUUGCUAAAAACUUUUUUUUUUUUUGGGCUAAAGGAAAAACUGCAGGUGUUUUAAGGAAAUUGGGCAAGCCUAAAAAAAUUGCAGAAGUUUUGUACGGUCUCCAUUCCUUUUUAAAGGAAAGGAAGCAAAAUGCAAGGUGAGUAACUUGCUUGAGCAUUUGGAGAACAUGAAGACAGCUAAGCUUAACUUCAGUCAAAUAUAGUGCUAUGUGCCACUUCAUGCAAUAAGUACUGCAGGAGUAAAUUCAUGGUCAUGAAGAUUUAUGAUUUUCAUAGCAGUUAUAUUUAUUUUUAUGCCCCUGCCCCCAAAUAAAUUUUGCUAGGAGUGAGGAAAGAAGGGGAAUGACUUUAAUAUUUGUGUUCUUACAUCCAAAAAUAUAUGGUGAAUUCCCUUAAUUUAUCAGCUAUAGAAUAAUGCUGAAAAAAACCCAACAGCUUCACACAUUUAGCAGGCUUCACCUGGAGAGAAACUUUAAUUUGCUGCUUUGAAAUAAAGGUCCAUACCGAGUUUCUUAGUACCUCACUAUAAAUAAGGUACUUUUCUAAGAAGCUGCAAUAAACAAAAAACAAAACCCCCA
rnacentral:lncRNA from 1 species